CCUCUUCCCACCUUUCCCUUUCUUUGGUCCCCCUUUGCUCUGCUCAUUCAUGGAGACAAACCACUAGCCCCCAAAUCUCCUAAAUCUUUCUAGUUGCUCUCUCCUGUAACUGUUGCAGCUCCGCCGGCCGGCUGGACGACUCAUCUUUCUUCAAGCCGCUGCAAGCACACAAGAAGAGGGUAAUCGGUUGUCUCCAUGGCCAAAAAUAAAAGAAAGCUUGCAACACUGCAUUCUUUUUUUGAGAAGAAAAGAAGAACUGAUGAUGUUCCAGAACAGAUUAAUUUGGUUGAUGCCCCUCCCUUGGUAGAUGAAGAAGAGCAAGUAAAUGAACAAGAACAAGUAGAAGAAACACCACAUUUCAACACAUUCGGCUUGUUCUUACUUUACCGGUUUCAACGGCAACGACAGAACGUGCAUUUUCUGCCAUGAAACUUGUGAAGACAAGGCUUUGGAAUAAAAUGGAAGAUGGAUUUCUAAGGGACUGCUUGCUAAUUUAUAUUGAAAAGGAGAUUGCUGUUGGAAUAUCAACAGAUGCAAUUAUAGAUGAGUUCGAUGAACCAUCACGUCGAGUGCCAUUUAGUUGAAGGCCUGGAGCAAGUUAGUUUCUCUAUCUUCUAUUAUCUAGAUUUUUCUUUUGUGUGAUGUACAAUUGAAAAAUUGCAUAUCCUCUUGUAUCAACGGUGAAUGGUGGUGUAAUGAAUGAAAAAUAUGCUAUUACAUCUUCUUCAUUGUUUUUUUGACCAAAAAUUUGUAUGGAAGUGUUGCUGCCUUCAGUAGGCCCGUGUUAUACAUUUUUCCUGGCUCCGCCACUG